UGGGGUUGUGGCUCAGUGGUAGAGCUCUCGCCUAGCAUGUGUGAUGCUCUGGGUUCGAUUCUCAGCACCACAA
rnacentral:tRNA from 1 species